rnacentral:lncRNA from 1 species
AGAUAUUGAGAUUUUCGGUUCUGUUUUCAGAGGCAGAAGAAAAUUCGUGAAGAUCAUAAAUCCUACUAUGCGAUUAACACUGUUUAUGUAUAUGGACAAGAGAAAUACUUGUUGUUGCAUGAUAUCUCAGAAUCGGAAUUUCUAACUGAAGCUGAAAUCAUUUGUGAUGUUGUAUGCCUGGUAUAUGAUGUCAGCAAUCCCAAAUCCUUUGAAUACUGUGCCAGGAUUUUUAAGCAACACUUUAUGGACAGCAGAAUACCUUGCUUAAUCGUAGCUGCAAAGUCAGACCUGCAUGAAGUUAAACAAGAAUACAGUAUUUCACCUACUGAUUUCUGCAGGAAACACAAAAUGCCUCCACCACAAGCCUUCACUUGCAAUACUGCUGAUGCCCCCAGUAAGGAUAUCUUUGUUAAAUUGACAACAAUGGCCAUGUAUCCAGAGGAUCAUUACAGAGACAGACUCUCCCGAGACAUGGGCCACACUGAUAGAAUAGAGAAUUUGAGAAAAAUCUGGGUCUUUCUAAAAACUGCUUUCCAUGCCCGGUUACGCUGUAUGUGCACCUGCAACAGGUGUACAUUUUGCAUCUGUCAGAACUUCCUCAACUCAGACUUGCUGCAAUCUGUAAAGAACAAAAUCUUCACUGCAGUUCUUAACAGGUGCAUGCUGUCAGCUCUGUAGAAGAUUCCAUCUUCAUGGAGUCAUCUCAUGGUCCACUUUUUCUUGAAGCCAGGCACGUGACACAAGCUGACCUCAAGAGCUCCACGUUUUGGCUUCGAGCAAGUUUUGGUGCUACUGUUUUUGCAGUUUUGGGCUUUGCUAUGUACAAAGCAUUAUUGAAACAGCGAUGAUAUAAAAAGAAAUACUGUCCCUACCAAAAACAAAUACUUUUAUGUACAUUCUGAAUGCUUUAAGUUCUGCUAGAAUUAUUGAGAUAUUUAUACAUGCAGAGUUACUUUAUUAAUAUUUGUAAUUCAUGCAUAAGAGUAUUUUAAUGAUAGUUAUAACUGCAGUAUUGGCUAGCAUAUGGAAAGAAAACAGCUAACAGCCAAACUAAAAUGGCUAAAUUCCAGAGGCCAAAAGGGAAUAUUUUGUAAAUAUAUGUACAUAUUCAGGCAAGAUAUGGUCUCCCAAGCUGAGUUCUAGAAAUGAUGUUUCUAGACAUUUCUAAGUGGUAUUGUUAGUGCUCACUUGGCUCACUCUUCUAGGUUUAAGUUAGCCCAGAGAUUGU